UCAAACGUAUCAUCUCGUAGAAAUCAUCCUCAACAAAAAGCACACAGUUGAUAAAGCGUACGACAUCGUUCAGGCACCUGCAUCUUCGCUCUCAGAUUAAUCUUCUUUCCGUUUUUGACCCUAUCCAGAAUUUAAAAUACCAAUCCUACCAUCAUUCUUCUCGUCGAAAAUCAAAUGUCACUUCCCACACACAAAUAAAAUCCAAAUCCAUUCACGUACUAAAUAAAAGAUCUCAAACCCUAAUUCACUAGGGUUUUUAUAAUUACAAUAUUUUUUGAUAUCUUCAUCUUUAAAUCAAAUCUAAUCCUCUUAUCCAUUGUAAUUACUGGAUUAAAUCUACCUGUAUAUACGCAUGAAACCCUAAACUCGCCAAAUUGCAAGCCAUUUUGGAUCUGCGAUUCUGAUUCUGAUUCUGAUUUUUUCUUCAAUGGCGGAUCAAGAAGAAGAGGAGUUGAGAGUGGCUCUAAGAAUGAGCAUGCAAAACUCGCCUCCUGAACCUAAGCGAAGCAAGCCGAGAGACGCUGGAGCUCCUGCGGCGUCACCAGAGGAAUCGAGGCGGAUGCAACGAGAGCUCAUGGCAGCGGCCGCUGAGAAGCGGAUGAUCGCGACGAGAAUUGCCUCCCCUUCUCCUUCGUUGUCGCAUUCGCCUUCUCCUUCUCCUUCACCUUCACCUUCACCUUCACCUUCACCUUCGAAAGCAACAAUUGAUAGAAAUCCUGGUAAAAGUGCGGACUGUGUUAGAAAGGAGGUGAAUUUUGGUGCGAAGGAGGGGAAUUCGGGACUGGAAUUAUCGAGUGAGGAAGUUAAUCAGUUGUUUUCGAUGGUGUUUGGGAGCGGAGUUUCGAAGGACAUUCUUGCUCAGUGGAGUAACCAGGGCAUAAGGUUUAGUCCUGAUCCAGAAACAUCUAUGGGCCUAGUGCAGCAUGAAGGCGGGCCCUGUGGCGUCUUAGCAACUAUACAAGCAUUUGUUCUCAAAUACCUUCUUUUCUUUCCGAAUGAAAUAGGCAAAGUUACAUCAAAUGCGCCACAAAAUUUAGGCCCUGGAAGAUUGUCUAAAGGCCAAUAUGUUGCAUCGGAUAAUUUUGGUUCUCUCACUGAAGAUGCAAAAGCAAGAGCCCUGGUCAAAAGCAUGGGCGAGAUAUUGUUUAUGUGUGGGGAUAAUAAAAGAGCUGUGAUUGCCACUUUGAAUGUUGUUGGCCUUGACACCAAGGGCUUUGCAAAGAACGAGAUUGUUGCAAAAGCACUUGAGGGUCUUUCAAUUGAAUCUGCCUUUGAUUUGCAAAAAAUUCUAAGAAUCGAAACACAUACAUCACAAGCAAGUGCAUUGCAGAAGCUCCAUAAGGCACUUCCUGUUUUCCAAUCUCGUAUGGGGGCACUACUGUUCCUUAUUUCUGCAUUACUGUCCCGGGGAUUGGACUCCAUUCAAUCUGACAGGGACGAUCCCAGCCUUCCCCUAGUCACUGCACCUUUUGGGCAUGCUUCACAGGAAAUUGUGAACCUUUUGCUCUGUGGACAGGCUGUCCCUAAUGUAUUUGACGGUAGGAUGGACUUGGGUGGAGGCAUGUUUCUAAAGGGCAUAUUCACGAGUGUGGAAGUUGGAUUUCUCACUCUACUAGAAUCCCUCAAUUUUUGUAAGGUUGGCCAGCAUCUAAAAUGCCCUAAAUGGCCAAUAUGGGUUGUAGGAAGUGAAUCCCAUUAUACAGUUCUAUUUGCUCUCGACACCACUGUUCAAGAUGAGAAUGAGCUGGAAGAAAGGGAAUCACAGAUCCGGAGGGCAUUUGAUGCACAAGAUCAGAGUGGCGGCGGUGGCUUUAUCAGUGUUGAAGGUUUCCAUCAAGUCCUUAGGGAAGCAGGAAUUAGACUUCCAUCCGAGAAACUUGAUCACCUUUGCAGCACUGGCUUUAUUGUAUGGAGUGAGUUCUGGCAGGUUAUUUUGGACUUGGACAAAAGUUUGGGAGGCCUUAAGGAUUCAAGUGGGUUAAUGGGUAAGAAGGUGUUUGAUCUUUACCAUUUUAAUGGGAUUGCAAAAUCUGAUUUAAAUGGAAGCCACACAACCUCUGGGGGUGAAACACCAGUUCAGAGACCUAGGCUCACAAAAUUGAGGGUUUCAGUUCCACCAAGGUGGACUCCCGAGGAAUUCAUGGCAGAUGUGGUAGUGACUUCUGGGCCUGUUGGGAACGAAUCAAGUGGUAAAGACACUGAGGUGACAAAACCUGAGCCUUCCCAGCAUGCACCACUGGUGGACUGUAUUAGAACACGCUGGUCGCGUGCAGUUUGCAAUUGGGUGGGGGAUCCGCCUAGUAUAGUGUGAAUGUUUACCCUUUUUGUGAUCCUUUAGCGUGCUCCUGUCGGUGAAAACACAGAUGGCAUAUAAUCCAAGAACAAUCACAAAAAAAAUUCAGGAGAGUUUUAUAGUUGUUGAUGAUGAGUGGGAGUCAUGGGCUUAAUGUUGUUUUACUCAACAAGUUAAAGAGAAGUUUUGGGUUCCCAGAUGAUUAUUUGAUUAGGAUUUUGCCUAAAUACACUGAUAUGUUUAUGCUUGUUAAUCAUAGCGGGAGAAGGAGAUCAAUGGGGAUUGAUUAGGAUUUUGCCUAAAUACACCGAUCAUCUUCAUAAAACUACCUUCUCCCUUGUUCCCAGUGUGGGAUUGGGGCGUUCAAAAUACCAGCAGAAGAGAAUGCUUUAUCAAUGCUUGCAUCUUAGGAGAACGUGCGUGUGCUCUAGUUCCAUGCCCAGGUGGGGACUUGCGUAGGAUCAACUAUCAAGUGAGAAUAAUCUCCUGGUUAGUGAAGCAUCAGCAACAAGAAGAGCAAAAAUAUAUCAGAAAAUGAAUACUUGACUGUCUCUUUGUGUUUUCUUCAGUUUCAUAUUCAUCUACUAUCUCAGAAUCCUGUUACAAAGUUAAAGGAGAGUUACCAUAAAAAAAGAAAAAAUAAGGAAAAAUUGAAGGAGAAUUAUUAGAGUCAUGAUGGGAAGUGCAAGUAUGCUUUAUGAGCUACUGAGUGCACAGAAAAACCAUUCUUUGAGGUAGGUUGUAUUAACCAAGUAAAUUGAUUGGAGCUUCAAUGCUUAAAAUGAAGAAACCAGGGAUCCUCAUAGCUUCCUUGUAAUGAUAAGAUUACGGAAUAUAUCUGUCCCAGGUAUGUUUCCCAG